CCUCAGCAGGCUGGCUGGCCCACAGGCCCGGGUGGGUAUCUCUUUGAAAGCCCCACCCUCAAGCACAACUAGGAGC
rnacentral:pre_miRNA from 1 species